rnacentral:rRNA from 1 species
CACGUAGGGCGCAAGCGUUGUCCGGAAUUAUUGGGCGUAAAGAGCUCGUAGGUGGUUUGUUACGUCCGCGGUGAAAUCCUAGGGCUUAACCCUGGGCUUGCAGUGGAUACGGGCAGACGUAGAGGUAGGUAGGGGAGGAAUGGAAUUCCUGGUGUAGCGGUGAAAUGCGCAGAUAUCAGGAGGAACACCGGUGGCGAAGGCGGUCUCUGGGCCUUACCUGACACUGAGGAGCGAAAGCGUGGGGGAGCGAACAGG